rnacentral:rRNA from 1 species
CGUCGUGAGACAGUUCGGUCCCUAUCUGCCAUGGGUGUAGAAGAAUUGAGAGGAGCUGUCCCUAGUACGAGAGGACCGGGAUGGACAUACCUCUGGUGGACCUGUUGUGGCGCCAGCCGCAGUGCAGGGUAGCUAUGUAUGGAACGGAUAACCGCUGAAAGCAUCUAAGCGGGAAACCAGCCUCAAAACGAGACUUCCCUGAGAGCCGUCGUAGACUACGACGUCGAUAGGCCAGGUGUGGAAGCGCAGCGAUGCGUGAAGCUAACUGGUACUAAUUGCUCGAUCGGCUUGAUCCGA